rnacentral:rRNA from 1 species
UACGUAGGCAGCAAGCGUUGUUCGGAAUUACUGGGCGUAAAGAGUGUGUAGGCGGUGUUCUAAGUCUGUUGUGAAAGCCCCGGGCUCAACCUGGGAAUGGCAGUGGAAACUAGGGGACUGGAAUCUGGCAGAGGGGGGUGGAAUGCCGCGUGUAGCAGUGAAAUGCGUAGAGAUGCGGCGGAACACCGAUGGCGAAGGCAGCCCCCUGGGCUGAGAUUGACGCUCAGGCACGAAAGCGUGGGGAGCAAACAGG